UGAGGAAUAUUGGUCAAUGGACGCAAGUCUGAACCAGCCAUGCCGCGUGAAGGAUGAAGGCGUUCUGCGUUGUAAACUUCUUUUAUCAGGGAAGAAACCACAGAUUUCUAUUUGUGUUGACGGUGCCUGAGGAAUAAGCACCGGCUAACUCCGUG
rnacentral:rRNA from 1 species